AUUGAACGCUGGCGGCAGGCUUAACACAUGCAAGUCGAACGAGCGGCGGACGGGUGAGUAAUGUCUGGGAAACUGCCUAAUGGAGGGGGAUAACUACUGGAAACGGUAGCUAAUACCGCAUACCAUCAGAUGUGCCCAGAUGGGAUUAGCUAGUUGGUGGGGUAAUGGCUCACCUAGGCGACGAUCCCUAGCUGGUCUGAGAGGAUGACCAGCCACACUGGGACUGAGACACGGUCCAGACUCCUACGGGAGGCAGCAGUGGGGAAUAUUGGACAAUGGGCGAAAGCCUGAUGCAGCCAUGCCGCGUGUGUGAAGAAGGCCUUCGGGUUGUAAAGUACUUUCAGCAGGGAGGCGUUACCCGCAGAAGAAGCACCGGCUAACUCCGUGCCAGCAGCCGCGGUAAUAC
rnacentral:rRNA from 1 species